GACGAACGCUGGCGGCGUGCCUAAUACAUGCAAGUAGAACGCUGAAGCUUGGUGUUUGUACCGAGCGGAUGAGUCGCGCACGGGUGAGUAACGUGUAGGUAAUCUGUCUGGUAGCGGGGGAUAACUAUUGGAAACGAUAUCUAAUACCGCAUAAGAGUAGAUUUCGUAUGACUUUUGCUUAAAAUGCGCAAUCGCAUCACUACCAGAUGGAUCCGCGUUGUAUUAGCUAGUUGGUGAGGUAACGGCUCACCAAGGCAACGAUACAUAGCCGACCUGAGAGGGUGAUCGGCCACACUGGGACUGAGACACGGCCCAGACUCCUACGGGAGGCAGCAGUAGGGAAUCUUCGGCAAUGGACGGAAGUCUGACCGAGCAACGCCGCGUGAGUGAAGAAGGUUUUCGGAUCGUAAAGCUCUGUUGUAAGAGAAGAACGAGUGUGAGAGUGGAAAGUUCACACUGUGACGGUAUCUUACCAGAAAGGGACGGCUAACUACGUG
rnacentral:rRNA from 1 species